rnacentral:rRNA from 1 species
GAUGAACGCUGGCGGCGUGCCUAAUACAUGCAAGUCGAGCGAACAGACGAGGAGCUUGCUCCUCUGACGUUAGCGGCGGACGGGUGAGUAACACGUGGAUAACCUACCUAUAAGACUGGGAUAACUUCGGGAAACCGGAGCUAAUACCGGAUAAUAUAUUGAACCGCAUGGUUCAAUAGUGAAAGACGGUUUUGCUGUCACUUAUAGAUGGAUCCGCGCCGCAUUAGCUAGUUGGUAAGGUAACGGCUUACCAAGGCGACGAUGCGUAGCCGACCUGAGAGGGUGAUCGGCCACACUGGAACUGAGACACGGUCCAGACUCCUACGGGAGGCAGCAGUAGAGAAUCUUCCGCGAUGGGCGAAAGCCUGACGGAGCAACGCCGCGUGAGUGAUGAAGGUCUUCGGAUCGUAAAACUCUGUUAUUAGGGAAGAACAAAUGUGUAAGUAACUAUGCACGUCUUGACGGUACCUAAUCAGAAAGCCACGGCUAACUACGUG